rnacentral:rRNA from 1 species
AGCGAACGCUGGCGGCAGGCUUAACACAUGCAAGUCGAACGCACCUUCGGGUGAGUGGCAGACGGGUGAGUAACACGUGGGAACGUGCCCUUCGGUUCGGAAUAACUCUGGGAAACUAGAGCUAAUACCGGAUACGCCCUUUUUGGGGAAAGGUUUACUGCCGAAGGAUCGGCCCGCGUCUGAUUAGCUAGUUGGUGGGGUAACGGCCUACCAAGGCGACGAUCAGUAGCUGGUCUGAGAGGAUGAUCAGACACACUGGGACUGAGACACGGCCCAGACUCCUACGGGAGGCAGCAGUGGGGAAUAUUGGACAAUGGGCGCAAGCCUGAUCCAGCCAUGCCGCGUGAGUGAUGAAGGCCUUAGGGUUGUAAAGCUCUUUUGUCCGGGACGAUAAUGACGGUACCGGAAGAAUAAGCCCCGGCUAACUUCGUGCCAGCCGCCGCGGUAAUAC